rnacentral:rRNA from 1 species
UACAGAGGGUGCGAGCGUUGUUCGGAAUUAUUGGGCGUAAAGGGCGCGUAGGCGGCGCCACAAGUCACUUGUGAAAACUCUGGGCUCAACUCAGAGCCUGCAAGCGAAACUGUGGUGCUGGAGUAUGGGAGAGGUGCGUGGAAUUCCCGGUGUAGCGGUGAAAAUGCGUAGAUAUCGGGAGGAACACCUGUGGCGAAAGCGGCGCACUGGACCAUAACUGACGCUGAGGCGCGAAAAGCUAGGGGAGCAAACAGG